GUCAUUACUAGUUUCACAGGAGAUGCCAGCUACAGGGAAAAAACAGUAAUGCUGGCUUCUGUGGACUGGAACAGGGUGCAGAUUAGAACAGAUCCAAUUCUUUGUAACCUGGAUUUCUUGGGGCAUCCGACAUCAAUAGCAGCCGUCUCUCCAAUUUCCAUCUCGUAGAGUACUAAGAGAAGAAAGAGGCUUUGGAGGCUGAAGAAAACUGUUUUAAAAAAUAAGCCACAUUUCAGGAAUCCUGGGCUGGAGGAGGGGGCAGCCUGCUGCAAGGAAGAUGGAACCAAUGAACCAGGGGAGUGCAGACAACUGAACCCACCGGAAAGAUCUGGUGAAAUUUGGGCAAACCCAGUUGGUUUCACACAAUUCUACCCCAGUGGAGUAUCUCUAAAGGUUACUAUUAAAAUCAAUAAAAUGUGGUGUGAUGCUGGCAGACCAGGUGCCAGUUCAUACGAAGGCCCCUGGGCCUCACUGACAAAUGCAUAGCUGGAAACCAGUCUGGCUCAUCUGUGUUAGCAUUGUUAAAAUAGAUGUUAAGUUUAUAAGAAUGUGUUUAAACUUGAUGAAAUGCUUGUAGGAUGCUGCAUGUAUUGAUCUCGCUUAUAACGUCUGUACCCCAGGCCAUAAAAGUUAUAUUGAGUGUUUGCACUGUAAACCUCUGUAACUGUGUAAUUCACCAAACAGGAAAGAAGCAUUAAUUAAUGUAAAGUGCAGGUCCUGCACACAACAAGGCCCACUGAAACCAAAUGAGCCAUUGUGAAACAUCAAAGGACAAAGCCUUUGUUGAUUGCCUCCUCCCCCCGCCCCGCCCAUGAAGACCACAGGGGCAGAAACACUUCUCCCAUCAGUUUAAAUUCAGGGGGAAGGGCAUACAAAUUUGUGACUAGAAGGAACUGUAUCACUCUGCUGUUUGGAAUUUGGAGAGGGCAAUAUUUCUUAGCAUAAGCAAGGGAUCCCAAAGCUGCUUGAAUUGGGUUAGCUCUAGAGGACAUAGAAAGCUUGCAUAUUGCAGCAGUUUCUAUUACUUUUGGAACCUAAGAUUAACUCAUUUGUGUGAGUAUGUUUACAUGCUUUAACCUUGUAAAUAACUA